rnacentral:misc_RNA from 1 species
GAUGAAGAACGUAGCGAAAUGCGAUAAGUAAUGCGAAUUGCAGAAUUUCCGUGAGUCAUCGAAUCUUUGAACGCACAUUGCGCCCACUGGUAUUCCGGUGGGCAUGCCUGUUCGAGCGUCAUUAUCCUCCCUCAAACCCCGGGUUUGGUGUUGGACCCAAGUUGUGUGAACAACUGGACUCAAAGACAAUGACGGCGUCCGUGGGACCCUCGGUGCAACGAGCUUUUAGGAGCACGCAUCGAGUUGCAAGGACCUUCCGGGCCGGUCUCCUUUACCAUUUUACAAGGUUGACCUCGGAUCAGGUAGGAAUACCCGCUGAACUUAAGCAUAUCAAUAAGCGGAGGA